GACGAACGCUGGCGGCGUGCUUAACACAUGCAAGUCGAACGGAAAGGCCCUGCUUUUGUGGGGUGCUCGAGUGGCGAACGGGUGAGUAACACGUGAGUAACCUGCCCUUGACUUUGGGAUAACUUCAGGAAACUGGGGCUAAUACCGGAUAGGAGCUCCUGCUGCAUGGUGGGGGUUGGAAAGUUUCGGCGGUUGGGGAUGGACUCGCGGCUUAUCAGCUUGUUGGUGGGGUAGUGGCUUACCAAGGCUUUGACGGGUAGCCGGCCUGAGAGGGUGACCGGCCACAAUGGGACUGAGAUACGGCCCAGUCUCCUACGGGAGGCAGCAGUGGGGAAUAUUGCACAAUGGGCGGAAGCCUGAUGCAGCAACGCCGCGUGCGGGAUGACGGCCUUCGGGUUGUAAACCGCUUUCGCCUGUGACAAAGCGUGAGUGACGGUAAUGGGUAAAGAAGCACCGGCUAACUACGUG
rnacentral:rRNA from 1 species